rnacentral:rRNA from 1 species
CAGCCGCCACGGGAAUACGAAGGGUGCAAGCGUUAAUCGGAAUUACUGGGCGUAAAGCGUGCGUAGGCGGUUUGUUAAGUCUGUUGUGAAAUCCCCGGGCUCAACCUGGGAAUGGCAAUGGAUACUGGCAAGCUAGAGUGUGUCAGAGGAUGGUGGAAUUCCCGGUGUAGCGGUGAAAUGCGCAGAGAUCGAGAGGAACAUCAGUGGCGAAGGCGGCCAUCUGGGACAACACUGACGCUGAGGCACGAAAGCGUGGGGAGCAAACAGGAUUAGAGACCCCUGUAGUCCCUGUCUCUUAUAC